GCACCGGUUGUGGAUGGGACACACACCAGCGUUAUUGCACUUUGCUGAGAGGUUGUUACAAUGGUGAGACGGGGUUCGAUUCCCCGCCGGUGCA